AGAGUUUGAUCCUGGCUCAGGAUGAACGCUAGCUACAGGCUUAACACAUGCAAGUCGAGGGGCAGCAUGGUCUUAGCUUGCUAAGGCUGAUGGCGACCGGCGCACGGGUGAGUAACACGUAUCCAACCUGCCGUCUACUCUUGGCCAGCCUUCUGAAAGGAAGAUUAAUCCAGGAUGGGAUCAUGAGUUCACAUGUCCGCAUGAUUAAAGGUAUUUUCCGGUAGACGAUGGGGAUGCGUUCAUUACGAUAGUAGGCGGGGUAACGGCCCACCUAGUCAACGGAUGGGAUAGGGGUUCUGGAGGAGGUAAGGUCCCCCCGANACUUGGAACUGAGACACCGGUCCAAACGUCCUACGGGAGGC
rnacentral:rRNA from 1 species